GGUUAAGCGACUAAGCGUACACGGUGGAUGCCCUGGCAGUCAGAGGCGAUGAAGGACGUGCUAAUCUGCGAAAAGCGUCGGUAAGGUGAUAUGAACCGUUACAGCCGGCGAUGUCCGAAUGGGGAAACCCAGUGCAAUUCGUUGCACUAUCGUUAACUGAAUACAUAGGUUAACGAGGCGAACCGGGGGAACUGAAACAUCUAAGUACCCCGAGGAAAAGAAAUCAACCGAGAUUCCCCCAGUAGCGGCGAGCGAACGGGGAGCAGCCCAGAGUCUGAAUCAGCUUGUGUGUUAGUGGAACGGUCUGGAAAGUCCGACGGUACAGGGUGAUAGUCCCGUACACCAAAAUGCACAGGCUGUGAACUCGAAGAGUAGGGCGGGACACGUGGUAUCCUGUCUGAAUAUGGGGGGACCAUCCUCCAAGGCUAAAUACUCCUGACUGACCGAUAGUGAACCAGUACCGUGAGGGAAAGGCGAAAAGAACCCCGGCGAGGGGAGUGAAAAAGAACCUGAAACCGUGUACGUACAAGCAGUGGGAGCACCUUCGGGUGUGACUGCGUACCUUUUGUAUAAUGGGUCAGCGACUUAUAUUCUGUAGCAAGGUUAACCGUAUAGGGGAGCCGCAGGGAAACCGAGUCUUAACUGGGCGUUAAGUUGCAGGGUAUAGACCCGAAACCCGGUGAUCUAGCCAUGGGCAGGUUGAAGGUUGGGUAACACUAACUGGAGGACCGAACCGACUAAUGUUGAAAAAUUAGCGGAUGACUUGUGGCUGGGGGUGAAAGGCCAAUCAAACCGGGAGAUAGCUGGUUCUCCCCGAAAGCUAUUUAGGUAGCGCCUCGUGAAUUCAUCUUCGGGGGUAGAGCACUGUUUCGGCUAGGGGGUCAUCCCGACUUACCAACCCGAUGCAAACUACGAAUACCGAAGAAUGUUAUCACGGGAGACACACGGCGGGUGCUAACGUCCGUCGUGAAGAGGGAAACAACCCAGACCGCCAGCUAAGGUCCCAAAGUCACAGUUAAGUGGGAAACGAUGUGGGAAGGCACAGACAGCCAGGAUGUUGGCUUAGAAGCAGCCAUCAUUUAAAGAAAGCGUAAUAGCUCACUGGUCGAGUCGGCCUGCGCGGAAGAUGUAACGGGGCUAAACUGUGCACCGAAGCUGCGGCAGCGACACUUAGGUGUUGUUGGGUAGGGGAGCGUUCUGUAAGCCUGCGAAGGUGGCCUGUGAGGGUUGCUGGAGGUAUCAGAAGUGCGAAUGCUGACAUAAGUAACGAUAAUGCGGGUGAAAAGCCCGCACGCCGGAAGACCAAGGGUUCCUGUCCAACGUUAAUCGGGGCAGGGUGAGUCGACCCCUAAGGCGAGGCCGAAAGGCGUAGUCGAUGGGAAACAGGUUAAUAUUCCUGUACUUGGUGUUACUGCGAAGGGGGGACGGAGAAGGCUAUGUUAGCCGGGCGACGGUUGUCCCGGUUUAAGCAUGUAGGCGGAGGUUCCAGGUAAAUCCGGUACCUUAUUAACGCUGAGGUGUGAUGACGAGGCACUACGGUGCUGAAGUAACAAAUGCCCUGCUUCCAGGAAAAGCCUCUAAGCAUCAGGUAACAUUAAAUCGUACCCCAAACCGACACAGGUGGUCAGGUAGAGAAUACCAAGGCGCUUGAGAGAACUCGGGUGAAGGAACUAGGCAAAAUGGUGCCGUAACUUCGGGAGAAGGCACGCUGGUGUGUAGGUGAAGCCCCUGCGGGUGGAGCUGAGACCAGUCGAAGAUACCAGCUGGCUGCAACUGUUUAUUAAAAACACAGCACUGUGCAAACACGAAAGUGGACGUAUACGGUGUGACGCCUGCCCGGUGCCGGAAGGUUAAUUGAUGGGGUUAUCCGUAAGGAGAAGCUCUUGAUCGAAGCCCCGGUAAACGGCGGCCGUAACUAUAACGGUCCUAAGGUAGCGAAAUUCCUUGUCGGGUAAGUUCCGACCUGCACGAAUGGCGUAAUGAUGGCCAGGCUGUCUCCACCCGAGACUCAGUGAAAUUGAACUCGCUGUGAAGAUGCAGUGUACCCGCGGCAAGACGGAAAGACCCCGUGAACCUUUACUAUAGCUUGACACUGAACAUUGAGCCUUGAUGUGUAGGAUAGGUGGGAGGCUUUGAAGCGUGGACGCCAGUCUGCGUGGAGCCAACCUUGAAAUACCACCCUUUAAUGUUUGAUGUUCUAACGUUGGCCCCUGACCGGGGUUGCGGACAGUGUCUGGUGGGUAGUUUGACUGGGGCGGUCUCCUCCCAAAGCGUAACGGAGGAGCACGAAGGUUAGCUAAUCCUGGUCGGACAUCAGGAGGUUAGUGCAAUGGCAUAAGCUAGCUUGACUGCGAGCGUGACGGCGCGAGCAGGUGCGAAAGCAGGUCAUAGUGAUCCGGUGGUUCUGAAUGGAAGGGCCAUCGCUCAACGGAUAAAAGGUACUCCGGGGAUAACAGGCUGAUACCGCCCAAGAGUUCAUAUCGACGGCGGUGUUUGGCACCUCGAUGUCGGCUCAUCACAUCCUGGGGCUGAAGUAGGUCCCAAGGGUAUGGCUGUUCGCCAUUUAAAGUGGUACGCGAGCUGGGUUUAGAACGUCGUGAGACAGUUCGGUCCCUAUCUGCCGUGGGCGCUGGAGAAUUGAGGGGGGCUGCUCCUAGUACGAGAGGACCGGAGUGGACGCAUCACUGGUGUUCGGGUUGUCAUGCCAAUGGCAUUGCCCGGUAGCUAAAUGCGGAAGAGAUAAGUGCUGAAAGCAUCUAAGCACGAAACUUGCCCCGAGAUGAGUUCUCCCUGAGACUUUAAGUCUCCUGAAGGAACGUUAAAGACGAUGACGUUGAUAGGUCGGGUGUGUAAGCGUAGCGAUACGUUGAGCUAACCGAUACUAAUGAACCGUGAGGCUUAACCUU
rnacentral:rRNA from 1 species